UAAACAGCACGUGAACAGGCAGCAGCAGAGCGCGUGGCAGUGCAUUGUUAUUGUUAUUAUUAUUAUUAUUAUUAUUAUUAUUAUUAUUAUUAUUAUUACACACUGCGGUGAGGGAAGAACAGUCAGUGGAUUUGGGAGAUGAAGAUUUAUGGAGUAUUUCUUCAGUUUUAACUCUCUGGACAUUUUCUUGGUUAAUUCGGCGACAUGAACUCCAGUGGAUUAUCAGACCAAGAGAUCACAGCUCUCUCUUCCGUGUAUGUCUCCUGUCUCAGUUUAAGUUUAAUUGGGAGCUGCUCUGUUUUCAUCACAUCAAUUAUGAAGAGAGAAAAGCUCAAAGAACAGGCGAAGCCUCUGAUCCAGCUGGCUCUAGCGGACCUCCUGGCCUCUCUCUGCCUCGGCAUCACAGCUGUGAUGAACCUGCUGUGGUCUGGAGCGGUGAGGAACAGUGAGGUGGUGUGCAGCGCAGGAUUAGCUCUGUCUCUGGUGAGGAAUCACAUCAUGUGAGAAUGAAAAACUGCAAUGAGGCUCAUAAAACAGUCAUAAACACACACACACACACACACACACACACACACACACACACACACCUCUCUAACAUGUUUAGUCAUGAUGAGGUUUCUGUUUAAUGCUGAAAUGUGAAUAUGAAGAGAAUAAUGC
ensembl:lncRNA